CCUGACGGUAGUCGUAUGCUCGUCUCCGAGACUAAGCCAUGCAAGUCCAAGUACACGUCCUUGAACGACGGAAACUGCGAACGGCUCAUUAAAUCAGUUGCGAUCUACUCGGCGUUCCGCGCCGCCGGAUAACCGUAGUAAUUCUAGGGCUAAUACGUGCGAAGCGCCCGAAGCCGCGAGGCGACGGGCGUUCUCGCCGGAUGUAGGAACCGACCCGGGGACCGCCGGGGGCAACCCCGGCGCCCCCCGAGACGGGGCGAACCACGGUGAAAUGACGGAUCGUCGGCCCCGCGCCGGCGACUCGCCGAAUGAGUUUCUGACCUAUCAACUCGAGACGGCGGGGUAGAGGCCCGCCGCGGUAACGACGGGUAACGGGGAAUCAGGGUUCGAUUCCGGAGAGGGAGCCCGAGAAACGGCUACCACUUCCAAGGAAGGCAGCAGGCGCGCAACUUACCCCUAAUCUCGAUUCGAGGAGGUAGUGACAAGAAAU
rnacentral:rRNA from 1 species